UCCAGCUGCAAAAAAUAAGGAUAAAUUAAAAAGAUAAACAAUCAUAUCAGUUCCAUAUACAGCAUCCUCUUUCAUAUACAGUAUACUGUUUAGAAACUGUAAUAUCUUUCCCUGUCCAGAAGUGUGGCACCUAUGUCACUAAGCUACCACAUUUCGACCUGGUCGUGGAUCAUUGUCCUCUGGUGCCUAAUCUCAACAGGAAGCUCUUCAGAGAGAUCGAGAAUCCGAGGCUGCAGCGUAUGCAUGAGAAGCUCUGUAUCUACAGCGUCACAGUCCAUUGGCAAAAGGGCAGACACCACUGCUGUGGUGUCUGCAUUCAGUGCAGCAUGCGAAGGCACCUGACUGGCGCCGUUACAAGACCAGACGCUAGUUAAGGUGAGUACUGCUGCCGCCUGGGAUGCAGAAUACACCGCCCUGCAUGAUGUCAUCAUGAGAAGAUUCCCAGAGCACCUUCAGGCUUUGGAAUAUGCAUUAUGACCUUACUGGGGCAUUCGCAGCAUGCUUGCUGUGGACGAUGACCUUAUUGUGUAUGGUUCACGACUCUUGAUUCCUUGCAGCCUUCGGCGUGAGAUGCUGCAUGACAGGCACCAGGGGGUGGAUAGAAUGAAGAGACGUGCUUGGCAGACCACGACAUAAAAAAAUGCAGUUUCAUCCUGUUCCCUGUGCCAAUCACUUUUGCCUAGCCAUCAGAAUGAACCAUUAUGGCAAGAUGACGAUUCCACAAAUUGUGCGUGUGAAUCAGCGUCCGCAGAUUACUUCCACGUGGCCGGCCGUAUCUUCCUCAUCUAUGUUGACCGAUUGUCUAGGUGGAUGUACAUAUCUUCCUGCCCUAGAACAGUGUCUGCAGCCCAUUUGGUAUGUGCCCUGCAUUCUGUAUUUGCAGAUACUGGUGUGCCGGUUGCCAUGAGGACAGAUGGCGGUCCACAGUUCACCUUGUCGACUCUCCACCAUUUCCUGGCUCGGUGGGCGGUGGAACACCGGAACACGUCCCCAUACAACCCACAUGCCAAUGGGCACACAGAGGCUGCUGUUAAGGUCGUGAAAAAGUUAAUCGGCACCACUGCAAGGAAUGGCAGACUGGACAUUGCACGUGGGUUACUGGAAUUGAGGAAGACAUUGCACGUGGGUUACUGGAAUUGAGCAAUACCCAGCGUGCUGACGGGAGGUCACCUGCCUGGUUUUGUUUGGACAUCCACUACAAUCAUCUGAUUCUGCACAUCAUCGAGCAUUCGUGGCAGAGUGGCAAUGUGAGGCAAACGAAUGUGACAGUAAAGCUCUACAUCUGGAUCGACGGGCCACAGAGCGACACAGUGCUUCAGCUGAACUACUCCCCAAACUGCAGCUCGGGUCAUAAGUGGAUGCGCAGGACCACACAUCAGGAAGGUGGGAAUGGUUGGGUGUCAAUGUUGGCAUCGGAUCCAGGCGAGACUAUCCUGUGAAGAUGGGCAGUGGCCGCACCCUGUGGAGGAAUCACAGGUUUCUUUGCCCUCAUCGUCCCAUGAUGCCAGUGGGUGUCACUGCUUCCAGACAGCUACCCGUGGAGACUGAGCGUCCAUCAACUAGUGCUGGCCAAUGUCGAAAUACUACGACAGCGUGUCCUGACAGUCCUGAGUUACCUGCAUCACCACCCAUCCCAUGGUGCUCAGGACAACAACGCAGAGCCAUGGCGCCUGACAAUACGUUGGUACUCUACGACGUACAGAACGAAGGGCCAAUGAUACAGCAUAACGUAUAGCCCCAGACUGUCCAGAUGUUCCACCUCCCUCAACAUCAGCAACAACAUCAACUUUGCCAAGCAACCCAGUAAAUUGUAGUGGGAAUAUGACCUGUUAGAGAAGAAAAUAAAUCAUAUGUAAAAAGAAAUAAAAUGUACUUAAUACACACAUCUGUAAAAAAUUAAUUGACUGCCUAUCUAUAAUAGAGAAGAUGUGGGGUAAAAUGUA